AUUGAACGCUGGCGGCAUGCUUUACACAUGCAAGUCGAACGGCAGCGCGGGCUUCGGCCUGGCGGCGAGUGGCGAACGGGUGAGUAAUACAUCGGAACGUGCCCAGUAGUGGGGGAUAGCUCGGCGAAAGCCGGAUUAAUACCGCAUACGACCUGAGGGUGAAAGCGGGGGAUCUUCGGACCUCGCGCUAUUGGAGCGGCCGAUGGCAGAUUAGUCAGUUGGUGGGGUAAAGGCCUACCAAGGCGACGAUCUGUAGCUGGUCUGAGAGGACGACCAGCCACACUGGGACUGAGCCGCGGCCCAGGCUCCUACGGGAGGCAGCAGUGGGGAAUUUUGGACAAUGGGCGAAAGCCUGAUCCAGCAAUGCCGCGUGUGUGAUGAAGGCCUUCGGGUUGUAAAGCACUUUUGGCGGGAACGAAAAGGACUGUGCCAAUACCACGGUUCGAUGACGGUACCCGCAGAAUAAGUACCGGCUAACUACGU
rnacentral:rRNA from 1 species